GCACGUGCAGCCAUAUAUGUAUGUUGUUUUGGUUCAUUCUGAAAUAAAGUAAUAAUCCAAUAAGGUUUUGCUCUUCCAAGCCAUGUUUCUGUGGAUCUGUUUUGUCCAGUACUGAGCAACAUUAAAUGUGAAGAAGAGGUGAUGAGCAACAGCCAGUCCAUUCUUAUUUCCAUACCACUGAAGUUUUGUCUUUGAAAGACAUUCCACUAUGGAACCUAUGUAAUUCAGAGACAAUAAGGAACAGUCAAAAAUAAGGUGCCAGGUCUACUAUUGAUCUCAAGGUUACAUGACUGUGUUUCUACAAAUGCUGUGAAACUAUGAAGAGCCAAGCAGGAGCUCUUGCAUCUUCCAUCAGUGGGCCCAAAACACUACACUGGGAGACCAAAGGCAGAACAGCCUCUCUGCAUUUGGAAGAUGAACUAGCAUUAUUCUAUGAAUACAAACAAGAUGACUAAAAAAACCAGAAAUCUGGGGUAUCUUAAAAUGAGGCCUGACUUUUGAAGGGAGUGUUAAAAUGCUAGAAGAACCACAGAACAGUUGUUUGAAGUUUCAAAAAUUUUUCUCUGCAUUUCCCUUUUAAAGGAGAACUGGUUAGUCAAGAUGGGUGAAGUGCAGUCUGAAGUAAUGUCUGGUUACACCAUGUAACAUCUCAUAUAGCCUUAUAUAAUUGACUGGGAAAGUGUGUGUGUGGGGGGGUUGUUCAGUAAUCUUAAGCAGUUACUAAGCUGUCAAAAAAGCCUAUGCUAGUAUUUUUCAUCUUGCCAACACUUCUGAACCAAGUCUAAAAGAUGGGUUUUUGAUAUAAAGAAUUAACAUAUACCCAGUAAACAUGAGAUCAGUAGAAACAUCAAUCACCUUACAGCAAAGGAGGCUUUGUUUUGUUUUAGAUGUGCUCUCUUUGAGCAAGUUUGUCUUUCUCAGAAUACCUAUGAAUUGACUAUAGAAACAGUAUAAGAGCAUCCUGCCCUGAAACAAAUAGAAGCUUUUCCCUUACGUAACUUAAAAAGAGAUUAAUGCUGCCUGCACUUGACUCUCUCAUUGGCCAAGAUUAAAUUUCCCUGCUAAGUAUGUCUAGAGGGAAAAUAAAACAAUUUCUUUGCUCCCCAUGGAAUUUUUUAUACUAUGGCAUACCACUAAUCUGGUCUUCAGGACUGGCAUUUUCCUAUAAUCUUGCUUGGUUUCCUUGCUUCAGUUUCAAAAAUAGAAUGUUUGAAAAGAUGGGUCUUUUAGUUACAAUUAGGGAACUACAUGAAACAAAUAUCUGAUAAAUACUAGUGUCAGAAUUUUGAGUUGGGGGAUGGGUUGUUGGU